rnacentral:lncRNA from 1 species
UUCCUGGUAGGACAAACAAGAAGCAACAAAACAUUGUAGGACUAAAACUGCAAAAGCUUUCAUCUUUACAAUUUUCCAGAAUAAUUUAAGCUGGAUAUAAUAUGAAUAUGCACUAUUACAUCUCAAACACAUCAUCGAUUUCAUUUACUCUUCAAGAUUUUUGUCGAGCAUGAUAGUAUUAGAAUUACCAUUUUCAGAAGAAUUUAAGCUGGAAAUAAUACGAAACAUACACAAGAGAUCUCAUUAACAUCAUGAGUUCCAAUUAUUCUUCCACAUUUUCGUGGAAAAUAAAUAGCAUUAGGAUUACCUACACAACGUUCGGCAUGGGAUUUGCGCAGGAUGGCGGCAAGGCCAAGAUCACCAAUCUUGACUUCCCCUUGGUUUCCGUUGAUGAAAAUGUUAUCACACUUGAGGUCUCUGUGUAUAACAGGAGGGUCGUGGCUAUGCAGGUAAUGAAGCCCUCUUAAAAUCUGUCGACAGUUAUCACACUUGAGGUCUCUAUGUAUAACAGGAGGUUCGUGGCUGUGCAGGUAAUGAAGCCCUCUCAAAAUCUGUCUACACCAACGCUUUACCGCUCUAAUGUUAACCCUCUUAUGUUUUAGCCUGUACCUGUCCAAGAUUAAGAAAUAGUUCCACAAUACAUCACCACAAAUUACAACUUAUAGAUAUUACCAUUGCUCAGAUAAUAUCAAUAAACCAAAUAUGAUUUCUA